UAAGAUAAAUGAACAAUGAAUUUCAAUCUAACAAUCAAUUUCACCGUAGUUUCUAAAUAUAUUUCAACCGACAGAUGCACGGUUUCACAAUAAUUUUCUUGUGAUUAUUAUUGUUACAGUGUAAUUCAUAGUAAAAUUACAAUCCAAACCAAAACGAACAAUGGUAAACUUCUCGUUUUUUACACAUUCUCAAAUGAGCGUGUAUAGAGAUUUAUUUUAAAGAGCAGCCAUUUUGAAAAACAAUUUUAUCGCGGGCAAUUUGUUUUGGUUACCAGCAGCGAUUGCAAAAUAUCUUGAAUGAUGCUGUCCCACGGCUCCUUUCACAUGCAGGCUUUUGAAAAAGCUCCCGAUAAAGUUCCCACUGCACACAAAACUUUCGGGGAUCUACUUAGCAAAAUUUCACUGUUGCUUUUCGUUAGCAAAAAAAAUUUUUUACCGUUGAGUUAGCAAAAAGCUAAAUUUACUUGAUUUUAGCAGUAUGAAAGUUCAUCUUGCUUGAUUUUAGUAAAAUGAAGGACUUCUAGCCGCUUUGCGUACAGACAGCAGCCGCCGCGGGUAGGGAGAAGAAAAAAAAAACAAACAGAGACGAUUGAGCGCGGUUAAAGCGCUGCUAGUGGUUCAAAAGGUGGCUUAGUCAACAACAAAAUACUGGCCAAAUCGACACCGGAAGCGAACAGAGGUUAAAUCUGCAACAAGAAACCCGCAACAGUCUGGAAAUGAAGAGGGACCACGACUGAAAAUUCAACGAGCUUCAUUCAGACACACACCCGGUGCAUUUGCUUGGCACUUCGCUCGCCGGAAAGUGCGUUCCCAGGACUUCUAUUUUACAAAAUGUGUAAAAUUGAAAAAAAAGUGAAAAAUAAAUCAAAAUUGAAUGAAAGUUGAGUAUUCUAUUAUA